rnacentral:lncRNA from 1 species
GCCCAGCAAUCUGUUUUUUUUAACAAUCUCUCUGGAUCAUUCUGAUGCAUAGUAAAGUUUGAGAAAAAUGGCUCUGUACUAAGAUGGGGAGUUUGGAAAUUCCAUGCCAGUGAAUGUUUUCAACUGUGGAUGAACUUAGAGACAUAUUUCUAGGAUGUAGAGGCAGGAGUUUGUGCCCAAAAGACUUCAUAAUUUCAGUGUGAACAAGACAAUUGGAAAUAUUAGAAAAAAACCCUGUAUUGCCAAGCCCUAGAGUUGAAGAUUUUUUUUUUCUAAUUCCAGAUAAUUUUGACCUAAUCACCUAUUUGCAAAGCAAUGGAGGCAUUGUUGGCCAGCUCUGGUGAAACCCACUUGUUCUGCAAGAUGAUGUAGAAUGAGAGUGUUUUUGUGGAAAUAUUAGCACACGCUGUCAAAUAUGGCCCUAACUUUCUGCAGAGGGAGCAAGUAUGUCUCUUAAUUUUGAUCAACUGUGGGGAAACAUUGAAUAGAAACUUCCAAACCAAUUUGAGUGGGCAAUUCUUCCUAAUGCUGGCCAGCUGCAAAGCUAUGACUUGAGGUCUGGUAGAUUCACAUUUGCUGAAUGGGAGCAUAUUACCUGGAAGAGAAGUGAAAAGACUCAAAGGAAACAUUUAUCCCAAGGGGAAAAAGAAACAAGUGUGUGAGCUGGGGAGGAGGUGAGCAGGAGGUCAAGGGGAACCAGAGAGGAGCUGUUUAGGCUAUUAGGAUGACAUGUCCAUACAGGUUGGAUGUCAUAUUCUGGUUUUUCCACACCUGGGUGGGGGAGGGGGUUGUCUCUUGUGACCUGCAAUCCACAGGGCAAUCUUUAU